UACAGAGGGUGCGAGCGUUAAUCGGAGUUACUGGGCGUAAAGGGCGCGUAGGCGGUUGUGUGAGUGUGAUGUGAAAGCCCUGGGCUUAACCUAGGAAGUGCAUCGCAAACGACAUAACUGGAGUAUAAGAGAGGGUGGCGGAAUUUCCGGUGUAGCGGUGAAAUGCGUAGAGAUCGGAAGGAACGUCAAUGGCGAAAGCACUCUGCUGGGCCGACACUGACACUGAGAGACGAAAGCUAGGGGAGCGAAUGGG
rnacentral:rRNA from 1 species